GACGAACGCUGGCGGCGUGCCUAACACAUGCAAGUCGAACGGGGGUAAAGACUUCGGUUUUUACUUAGUGGCGAAACGGGUGAGUAACGCGUGAGCAACCUGCCUUUCAGAGGGGGAUAACGUUUGGAAACGAACGCUAAUACCGCAUGACAUGUCGGAACCGCAUGAUUCUGACAUCAAAAGGGAGCAAAUUCCCGCUGAAAGAUGGGCUCGCGUCCGAUUAGAUAGUUGGUGGGGUAAACGGCCUACCAAGUCGACGAUCGGUAGCCGGACUGAGAGGUUGAACGGCCACGAUUGGGACUGAGAUACGGCCCAGACUCCUACGGGAGGCAGCAGUCGGGAAUAUUGCACAAUGGGGGGAAACCCUGAUGCAGCGACGCCGCGUGAGUGAAGAA
rnacentral:rRNA from 1 species